ACCUUCUAGCCCGAGGUCCGGCGCUCUAUCGACUGUGCCGCAAAAGCAUGCUCGAUCUACUUCACGUCGCCUGAAUAUGACGGCAUAAACCCUUGCCAUGGACAUGCUCGUACUGUCUGUGCCGGGAACUGGAUGCAGCCACUCCAACCAGAAUUAAAUAGAUGACCUCUGAUGAGAAAUGGAUGGUGAUGGUGAUAUGGACCCAGGCAGGGACGACUUGCCCCUCAGAGCCAACACCAACCACAUCCUGGUCAGACACUAUGUCUUGGACCUGGACAUAAGCCUCCAAACUAAGGUUAUCACUGGUACUGUGGUGCUCUUCCUGGAGCCAGGCCCACUGGCUGGAGAUGGGAAUGAGGCUGGGGAAGGGGCCCCAACCCCACCCCAACCAUCCCAGACCGAUGACUCCUGGGAGGAUGAGAGCCACAGAGACUUUACCUUAGUUCUGGACUGCUGUGACCUCACUGUGUCAAAAGUAGAGGAGUUGGACGUGACCUCUGUGUCAGAUAUGCAGGGUCUCCUAAAGGAGGUCAAGGGUGAGGGGUUAGGGGUUGGCCCACAACCAGACAGCCAAUCAGCUGUGCUCAUUCAGAGGCUGAUCUCCCUACCGUCCACCCAAUGGAAAAAGCAACACCACCUGUACUUCCAGUGCAGUCAUGCCCCUGCUUCUGAGGGUGGGGGACCCCUCAUCUUCCACACUGACCGCUGGAGCCUGCAGGUGAGGAAGAGGGGGGUUCGGACCAUCCAGGAGUUCCCCCGAGCCCUGAGGGUCUGCUACAAGACCAAGCCGGAGGGAGGCUCUGUCAGGUGGACUAAAGAUCAGGACAACAGGUCAUGUGUUUACACCGCCGGCUCCCCCAUCAACAACCGUGCCCUCUUCCCCUGUCAGGAGCCUCCUGUCGCCAUGUCGACGUGGCAGGCCCAGGUACGAGCCCCUAGGGAGUGUGUGGUUCUAUUGAGUGGAGAGAACCAGGCCCAGCCCACGCACCUGCACCACACAGGUCUCUCUAGCUGGGACUACUAUGUCACUAUGCCUAUGCCUGCCUCCACUUUUACCUUGGCAGUGGGUUACUGGCGCCAGGCCACAGCACAACUUUCCACAGCACAGCUUACCCCUCCUGUGCAGGGUACAAGGGCUGGGGCUUCUCAUACGCAUGCUGGCAGCUUGGACCUGAAUCCAUUCACCAACAUGGACCAUCCCAUCAUCACCAGCCCACAGUCUACAUUAGUCUACUCAGGCCUGAAGGAUGAGAAGCACUCUGAGAGCGUCUGCUUAGGUCUGGGCGAUGACAACUUCACCUGUUGCCAUACUGAUUACCCCUGUCCAUUCACCGACCCAUCCGCCUGGAGCCAAGAGGUGGUCCCUCACCGGAUGUUUGCCCCGCCCUCUCUGCUGCAGAAGGCCCAGGUCCAGGUCCUCCCCCUUCUGCCUGGCUGCCUGGCUGCAGCCCACGCUACCCUGGGGGUUCAUCCCUUCCCCCGCCUCGACAUACUCAUCGUCCCAGCAAGCUUCUCUAGCCUGGGCAUGGCCAGCCCCCACAUCAUUUUCCUGUCACAGAGUGUGCUGUGUGGAGACAGAGAGGGAGACGGAGAGGGAGUUGGAGGAGAGCGGGGCCUGUCUCUGUGUGGGUCUCGUCUGUGCCAUGAGUUGUCCCACUCGUGGUUUGGCCUUGCCAUCGGGGCCCGGGACUGGACAGAGGAGUGGAUCAGUGAGGGCUUUGCCACCUACCUGGAGGACAUCAUCUGGGCCCGGGCACAGCAGUUGUCCAGCAAAGAGACAGAGGAACAGUCUCAACUCAAGGCUCUGCUGAGGUGGAGGAGACUCUCAGACGAACUACAGAACUCCGAGGAGCAGCUGCAGAUCCUCAGGCCCAACAUGGAGAGUACAGGCCAGGUCAGUGAGUCUGGGUCGUCCCUGGUCAAACAUGCCCUCAACCCUGAGAAAACCUUCAUGCAAGUCCACUACCUCAAGGGCUACUUCCUCCUCAGGUUCCUGGCCAGUAAAGUAGGACUUGAAUACUUCCUCCACUUCUUCAGACUCUUUAUAAAGAAAUACCAUGGACAACUAAUUCUCUCUCAGGAUUUCUUGCAAAUGCUGCUGGAGACCUUUCCUGACAUGGAGCGGGGUCAAAUUAAGAUCCGACAUCUGUAUUUGAAGGUGUUGCCCGAAACAUUACGACAAGGCCUAACCCUUGAAGCUAUUUAUGCAGACUGGCUGGAUCGACCAGGAGUUCCUAAGUGGCUGUGUGAAGGGAGUGUCGUAUGGACACAGACUCGGCUGGUGGAAGACGUCAAAGCGGAGGUAGCAAAAUGGAUUGGUCUCAGUCCGAGCGUUGGAAAAGGCAGAAAGCGGAAGAAAGCUGGACUGAACGUGAACUUCAAAGAGGUGAUGCCGGAGCAGCUGGUGUUGCUAUUGGAGAUUCUGCUGGAGGAGGAGGAGCUAAGUGUGACAUCACUGCAUACGAUCAAGAGAACCUACGAUCUACCGAAGCAGGACGCUGAGGUGAGGCAUCGCUGGUGUGAGCUGGUGGUCAAACACAAAUACGCUCAGGCUUAUGGAGAUGUGGAGCACUUCCUCAUACACGACCAGGCCAUGGGUGUUUAUCUGUAUGGGGAGCUGAUGAUUCAAGAGGACUCUAGACAACAGGCUCUGGCCAGGCGCUGCUUCUCAUUGGUCCAGAACGAAAUGGACCAAUCAGCUCGCAGAGUGGUAGAGGAGAUGGUCCUAUGAGGUGGCACACAAAAGGUACUGACCCACCCAGCUGUGCCGUCUCAAAAUUAUAGGUGGACUCCAAUCAAGUUGUAGAAACAUCUCAAGGAUGAAAAAAUGGAAACAGGAUGCACCUGAUCUCAAUUUGGAGUCUUACGGCAAAGGGUCUGAAUACUUAUGUAAAUAAGGCUGCCCAGCUGCCCGCCUUGGGACAUGGAAGGGAGAGGAAACGCUGAGAAAGUAAUGCUCUCACUACUUCCCCUCCAGACAGGAAGACCAAACGCCAACCUGUUUUCUUUCCUGCAUGAUCAAUGAAGUUAAAGCACUGUACUGUACAUACUAAUAGUAAUAGGUGAUGUGUAGAUAGGCCUGCAUCCCAAAAUGGCACCCUAUUUCCUAUAUAGUGCACUACUUUUGACCAGUGCCCUAUUAGCCCUUUGACUUUGGGCAAAAGUAGUAAACUAUAAUGGGAAUAUGUUGUCAUUUGGUACACCCAUAGUUAUGUUCUCCCAGAAUUCUCAAAAAUAUAGGAAUCGAAAAUAAAGACUAUUCUCAUGGCAUUUGUAUAAAUAUAAUAAUGCCUCUUUACUGAACUUUCUGAUUUAGCCUCAGUUUCAAUUCUCCUCAUUAGGAAAUGCGACUGAGAAUGAGAUUUGGGUCUUGGAGGUGUCCUUUGAUGUGGAGAUUUGGGUCUUGGAGGUGUGCUUUGAUGUGUCUCUUGUGUGUUCGAACGUGGGAUCGUUUGUACAUUCAUUCUGCAACAAAAAAAAACAGUACAGCUACAGUCACUCACCCUUCUAGAUAACUUGAAACAGUCUAACCAGGUCUUGUGUCUGGAAGCCACCUGCAGAUUCAUACUACAGCUAUGACAAUCAGUUUGUAUUACUAGUAGUAUGGGUUGGGAUUAUGGUUAAUUUUUUUUUAGCUAGCUAGCUACAUUACACGGCCCAUCAAGUUAGCCAGUUGUAUCUGGGGGUGAUUACGGCCAUCUACUGUAUUUCCUGAACAUGUGUACAUGUCUAGACAAUAGUGACCCAUCCACUUAGCUGGAUGUGGCUGGGGAGUGGUUAUAGCAUGACCCAUCCAAUGUAAACAAGUGUGUCUGGGUAAGCAGCUGAUAAUGAUCAAAUAUUUUUAUCUGGACACUUUCUGUUUUUUGAUAUUGCUACUAAUCAAAUAUGUAAGUAAACAUUUCACUGUACCGUUUACACCUUUGUAUCCUGUGCAUGUGACAAAUAAACAUUGAUUUUAUUUGAUAUAGUGUUUUUACCAGAGAAGGUCAUGUGAAGAACAACAUUACCUGCACCAAAGUCAGAUUACGAUAUAGGCCAAGGACGAGAUAAAAUGUAUUUUUACCUGGAUUUUUCCUUAUUGUAGGCUAAUACUUUUACCACUUUUAGUCUUGAAAUCUUUGGUUGUUUACCACACUACCUUACUCACUCGGUUUAGCACAUGGCCCAACAUGUGAAUCCACUAAGAGAUGGGUGGGGCAAAGGCUUAAGAGGGUCUGAACAAUGCUCAAUAAGUGUAUACAAAAAAAGAGCUCUCCAGAAGGUGUACCAAAACAUUGAAGGGCUAUUUUCUCAAAAGUGAGGUUACAAGUUUUUUCAAAUUUCAAAGCAGAAUCACUUUCCCAUUGUUCCUCAACUGCAGUGUAUGAUAUACCAUUUUCUAGUUCUGAGUCCCUACUUUUAUC